rnacentral:rRNA from 1 species
UCAUGGCUCAGAACGAACGCUGGCGGCGCGCCUAAUACAUGCAAGUCGAGCGAGAAGGUGUAGCAAUACACUUGUAAAGACGGCGAACGGGUGAGGAAGUGCAUGGGUAACCUACCCUCGAGUGGGGAAUAACUAGCCGAAAGGUUAGCUAAUACCGCAUACGUUUCCGGAACUUCGGUUUCGGAAAGAAAGCAAUACCGUGGGUAUUGCGCUCCUGGAUGGGCUCAUGUCCUAUCAGCUUGUUGGUGAGGUAACGGCUCACCAAGGCUUCGACGGGUAGCUGGUCUGAGAGGACGAUCAGCCACACUGGCACUGCGACACGGGCCAGACUCCUACGGGAGGCAGCAGUAAGGAAUAUUGCGCAAUGGACGAAAGUCUGACGCAGCGACGCCGCGUGGGGGAUGAAGGUCUUCGGAUUGUAAACCCCUUUCGGGAGGGAAGAUGGAGUGGGUAACCACUUGGACGGUACCUCCAGAAGCAGCCACGGCUAACUUCGUG